CCUACGGGUGGCAGCAGUGAGGAAUAUUGGUCAAUGGGCGGGAGCCUGAACCAGCCAAGCCGCGUGAGGGAAGAAGGUACAGCGUAUCGUAAACCUCUUUUGUCAGGGAACAAAGGCGGGGACUAGUCCCCGGAUGAGGGUACCUGAAGCAAAAGCAUCGGCUAACUCCGUGCCAGCCGCCGCGGUACUACGGAGGAUGCGAGCGUUAUCCGGAUUUCUUGGGUGUAAAGGGUGCGCAGGCGGCCUGUUAAGUCAGCGGUAAAAGCCCGGGGCUCAACCCCGGCGAGCCGUUGAAACUGGCGGGCUGGAGUUGGAGAGAAGUACGCGGAAUGCGCGGUGUAGCGGUGAAAUGCUUAGAUAUCGCGCAGAACCCCGAUUGCGAAGGCAGCGUACCGGCUCCACACUGACGCUGAGGCACGAAAGCGUGGGUAUCGAACAGGAUUAGAUACCCUGGUAGUC
rnacentral:rRNA from 1 species